GGCGGGGCCGUGAGGCUGCAGCCGAUGGUGGAGCGCCAUCUCCUGCCCGCCAUGGGCCCGGUUCUCUUCGGCGGUGAAGCCGGUGUGGGGGGGGACGGCGGACAUGGCCGCCUGCCCUGUCAGGCACCGGGUUACCCGGGUUGCUUUCAGAGAGGGGCUGCCGAGAGACGGUGUCUGGGGACAUUCCUUUAUAAAGGAGGAGAAAUACAACUUGUGAUUGCGAAAUGCAACUCUUUGUUUUCCUGGCCGGUCUGAGGGAGCUGUGUCAAAGCAGUGGACCUGAGCGGUCCGAAAGGCUGGGCGGCUUCUCUGAGGGAGGGUGGCGGCGGUGCCUCAGGUCAUCCCCGCCGCUUCUAACGGCAGCGGGACAGGCAAACCCACCCGCUUCUAACGGCAGCGGGACAGGCAAACCCACCCGCCUUUUAACGUCUUAGGGUAAAAAUCAGCCGCGAGUGUGAGGUGGGGAGCGGGAGGGCCAGGUGAGGGGCGGUAAAUCCUGUCAGCGGUGCUGGUGGGGGGGGUGGACGGCGGGAAAGAGCAUUUGUGCACGGAACGGGGAAAGGACGGAGCACCCAGACUCGGCUCCUUUAAUCAUCAGAUUCAGGUGGUUGUGUUGAUUAUUUAUUUUGAGGAGGGAGGGGGAAGGUUGGAUUAUUUUGAGGCGGAGGGGCAGGGCCCUCACCCUCCCGUUCCCCCGGAGCCGUGUCCCGCCCGGCCGCCUGCGCGUUGCGAUGCCCGGGGAGGUGGCACAGGCUGCGGCCGUUCCUUCAUCCAUCCAUCCAUCCUCCCAUCCACGCAUCCAUCCAUCCAUUCGAGGAGGAGGAGGAAGGAGGUGGCAGGGAGCCCCCCCUCUCCUUUCUCCCCUCCCCGCGGCGGCGGGGCUCCGGCCGGAGGCGGCGCAGCCUCCCCGCCGCUGCCAGGCGCUUUCGGGCUCGGCUCUCUGGACGGUGGAGCCGAUGGCUACAGGCCACCUCUGUGCAGGGGUGUGUAAACUUGAAGAACGCGGGCUUUUGCACUUAAAAAUCUCCAGUU
rnacentral:lncRNA from 1 species